CCUACGGGCGGCAGCAGUGAGGAAUAUUGGUCAAUGGGCGGAAGCCUGAACCAGCCAAGUCGCGUGAGGGAUUAAGGCCCUGCGGGUCGUAAACCUCUUUUGCCGGGGAGCAGAGGUCCGGACGUGUCCGGGCCGGGAGAGUACCCGGAGAAAAGGCAUCGGCUAACUCCGUGCCAGCAGCCGCGGUAAUACGGGGGAUGCGAGCGUUAUCCGGAUUUAUUGGGUUUAAAGGGUGCGUAGGCGGGCAUUUAAGCCGGCGGUCAAAUGUCGGGGCUCAACCCCGGCCUGCCGUCGGAACUGGGUGCCUUGAGUGGGCGAGAAGUAUGCGGAAUGCGUGGUGUAGCGGUGAAAUGCUUAGAUAUCACGAAGAACUCCGAUUGCGAAGGCAGUUCACUGGACUGCAACUGACACUGAGGCUCGAAAGUGUGGGUAUCAAACAGGAUUAGAUACCCGGGUAGUC
rnacentral:rRNA from 1 species